CUACUACUCCCUCCGUUCUGAAUUACUUGUCUUAGAUUUGUAUAGAUACGGAUGUAUCUAGACUUAUUUUAGUGCUAGAUACAUCCGUAUCUAGACAAAUCGAAGACAAGUAAUUUGGAACGGAGGGAGUAGCUA
rnacentral:pre_miRNA from 1 species